GGCCCAGACUCCUACGGGAGGCAGCAGUGGGGAAUAUUGCACAAUGGGGGGAACCCUGAUGCAGCGACGCCGCGUGGGUGAAGGAGUACUUCGGUACGUAAAGCCCUAUCAGCAGGAAAGAAAAUGACGGUACCCGACUAAGAAGCCCCGGCUAACUACGUGCCAGCAGCCGCGGUAAUACGUAGGGGGCAAGCGUUAUCCGGAUUUACUGGGUGUAAAGGGAGCGUAGACGGCGGGGCAAGUCUGGAGUGAAAGGCCGGGGCCCAACCCCGGGACCGCUCUGGAAACUGCCCGGCUGGAGUGCGGGAGAGGUAAGCGGAAUUCCUAGUGUAGCGGUGAAAUGCGUAGAUAUUAGGAGGAACACCAGCGGCGAAGGCGGCUUACUGGACCGUGACUGACGUUGAGGCUCGAAAGCGUGGGGAGCAAACAGGAUUAGAUACCCCAGUAU
rnacentral:rRNA from 1 species